rnacentral:miRNA from 1 species
GUCCGUGAGUCCACAAAUAGG